rnacentral:rRNA from 1 species
GUGCCAGCAGCCGCGGUAAUACAGAGGUCCCAAGCGUUGUUCGGAUUUACUGGGCGUAAAGGGUGCGUAGGUGGUCGGGUAAGUCUCAUGUGAAAUCUCCAAGCUUAACUUGGAAAUGGCAUGGGAUACUAUUCGGCUAGAGGAUUGGAGGGGGGACUGGAAUUCCCGGUGUAGCAGUGAAAUGCGUAGAUAUCGGGAGGAACACCAGUGGCGAAGGCGAGUCCCUGGACAAUUCCUGACGCUGAGGCACGAAAGCUAGGGGAGCAAACAGGAUUAGAAACCCUCGUAGUCC